rnacentral:lncRNA from 1 species
UCUUAAGAGCAGUCAGUGCUCUUACCUGUUGAGCCAUCUUUCCAGCCAUGCCAUAUUUUCCAUUUUUAUUUUACAGCUAAUUUAUUUAGAUAAAUUCCCUCCUAUAAAUCAGCACCUCCACCCCAAUUCCAUACUCCUAAAAGCUUGGGAAUUUGAACAAAUCAAUGUUAAAUCUGUGAUGUGUGCCUGGGUGUUGCAUCCUAAUCAUACAGGGCACCUCCAUUGUUUGAAGGUCUUGUAUUCUGUCCUUCAAGUUCCAGUCCUUAAACACCCGGUUCAGCGGGGUGUUGUGCAUACCUUUAAUCCCUGCACUCCGAAGGCAGAGGCGAAGAAUCUCUGUGGUCUACAAAGCUAGUCCAGGACAGCCAGGGCUAGUUACACUGAGAAACCCUGUCUCAAAAGACAAAAUCAAUCAAUCAGUCAAUCAAUAAAUCAAUAAAUAAAUCUCCACCCAGUCCAUGUGACUGUGUCACUGCUGACUCACUUCUUUCAUGCUUCAAAACCAAACAUGAAUAAAUUCAGAUGUGUCAUUUAAGUAUAAUGGCCAAAUUAAUUGUAUUAGCGUUAUAACUUGCCCAGUGAAGUUAAAUCGGAAUUAAAUACACAGAACCUAGAAAGCCUCAAGCUGGCAAGAUGGCUCAGCUGGUAAAAGUACUUAUGGUACAAGCCCAAGAUGGGGCUAAGUGAGAUAAAAAAAGUAAGUCAAAGAUGCACAAACAAUUGAAACUAAGGCCGAGCUUGCAAGAAGGCACAGUGAGUCAAGGCGUUUGUCUACAAGCCUGUGACCUGAAUUUAAUCUUCAGAAGCCACGGAAAGGGUGGAAGAAGGGAACUCUACAAAGUUGUCUCUUACCUCCACAAUGCACUUCAUGGUAUUGUGUGCCUACACACACACCACUACCAACAACAAUAAUAAUGCUGGUUAAUUUUAUUUAAAGAUGGCUGUCAAGAUGGCUCACCAGAUAAAAGCCCUUGCCUCACACAGCCUGGUGGCUGGGUUUUGAUCCCGAGUUCAUAUAAAGGUAGAAAAACAGAACUGACUUUCACAUGAGCACUGUGGUAGGUGCACCAACAUACACAAAUGUCACACACAUACAAUAAUAAUUAUUUUAAACAAAAACGACUAAGGUCUGAGCCUGGAGAAGUGGCUUAUUGGUUGAGAGCAUACACUGCUCUUGCAAAGGACCUGAGUUUAGUCCCUUCUACCUACAAAGAGCAGCUCACAACUGCCCUUGGCCCCAAGGACCCAGUACCCUUUUUUGGACUCCUUGGGUAUUCACAUGAGAACAAACCCACACACAAAACCACACAUACACACAUAAAUGAAAUAAAAUCUUUAAAAAAUUUUUUUCUGUCAGUGGUGGCACAUAGCUUUGAUCCCAGCACUCAGCUCUUGAGGAGGCGGAGGCAGAGGCAAGAGGAUCUCUUGAGUUCAAGUUUUCUGUGAGCUACACAGAAAAAUCCUGUCUCCAAAAAACAAAAAACAAAACAACAAAAACAAAAUCUCUUGUGGGGGAAAAAAAUGACUGCGAUCUUCCAGAGAUGAAGUCAGACAAGGUGACAAUAAAAAAUGACAGAUACCCACAUGGACCUGUGAGAUGGCAUAGUGACAGUGCAGCUUCAGACAGAGCAGAAGUUUUCGUGUCUUUGAGUCCUUCCUUCCUUCCUGUCACAGCCAUAACCUGGAGGGAUGUCCACACAUGUGGCACUGUAGAACAUCUUGCCCCUAGAAGGAAGGCAGACAUCAACUCCUUUGGUGGUUCCAAUGAAGAGGCGCCUGGGAUGAUCUUGGUGCUCCUAUCUCCUGCUUAGAGUUCUGUUCUCGAAAACUCUGUCAGGUUUUGCUAGGGAAGCAGCUCCCUUCCAUCCAUCCUGCGCUCUGAGCCCUGCCCGUAGACCUAGUGAUGAACCAUGCUGUUUCUUCUCUUAGGGAAUACAGAGCCCUCCAUCAUUAUUAAAGAUGCCCAUACCCUGGCCUACCUUGCUAGAUAUGGAGACUGAAGAGAUGAAAUUAUAAGAAAAAUUGUAUGCUUUGCUAAUUUAACAACACAUUUUUUUGCCCACUGGUUACACAAUCAAACUUCUAGAGAGCCAAGCACUCACUGUCUCCAAUGUUGCCUCUUGUUGGGGAAGCCAGCAAAUUCACAUCUCUUUUUUUCCAUGACUCCUCUCCUCCAGGUCCAUGGGUAUGAGCACACACUCCUGGGGAAAGGGGGCCAUGCUGGGCAUUAGGGAAGGGUAGAUCACUGAGUAGGGCUGUGGCUGACCCUCCUGCGAUCUUGGUGACCUCAGAGCCAUGAGCAUAUGGUAAACAGCAGCACAGAAAAGCUAGACGAUCCACAAAGCACUAUGAGAUCUUUAUUCUUUUUGUUCUGCAUCGUUACUAAGAGAAGAACUUACGUUGUCCUCUUGAGAUAUAUUUCACCAACAUAUAACCCCUAGGUAACAUCCAAAGCAAGGCCAGGCCGGGGUGGUUUUCAUAAGCUUCCUGUAAUGUGCAGGCUUCAGUAAUGGAUGACGAGAGGCAAAGGAUGCAGGACGGUGCCUGGGCGCCUUAAGGUCUUGGUGUCUGCUAAUCGUUGUCUCUUUCGCCACCAUCAUUGUUUCUAACCUGCCAUGCUGGGCUGUGCAGAAGCACAUGUGGUGUGGUGUUUCUUCAGUACAGGUGUCACAGAGAAGCCUUGAUAAGGAUGUGGACUCCAAGCAUUUAACAUUCCACAUGAUAAUAGAAAACUGUAAGGUUCUGUAAAGCUACAGAUUUGGAGACACACGCUACUGUAGGCUGAGGAUGUAGCAUGGCUGGUAGAGUGACUGUCAAGUAUACACAAGGUCCCAGCACUGCAUAGACCAGUCAUAGAGGUACACACCUAUAAUCCCAGCUCAUAGUGAGAUUAAUGCUAGCCUUAUCUACAUGAGACCAUGCCU